UGGGCGUAAGGGCGCGUAGGCGGCUCAUGAAGGCUGUGGUGAAAGUCCGGGGCUCAACCUCGGAUCGGCCGUGGCGACUCGUGGGCUGGAGCACUGUAGAGGCGGGUGGAAUUCCGGGUGUAGCGGUGGAAUGCGUAGAGAUCCGGAAGAACACCAGUGGCGAAGGCGGCCCGCUGGGCAGUGGCUGACGCUGAAGCACGACAGCGUGGGGAGCAAACAGGAUUAGAUACCCUGGUAGCCCACGCCGUAAACGAUGGGCACUAGGUGCUUGGGGGAGCGACCCUCUGAGUGCCGGCGCUAACGCAUUAAGUGCCCCGCCUGGGGAGUACGGCCGCAAGGCUGAAACUCAAAGGAAUUGACGGGGGCCCGCACAAGCAGUGGAGCAUGUGGUUUAAUUCGACGCAACGCGAAGAACCUUACCUAGGCUUGACAUACACGGGACACCCCUCGAGAAACCGAGGGCUUCCUUUGGGACCCG
rnacentral:rRNA from 1 species